rnacentral:rRNA from 1 species
CAGUUACUUCGAGUGAAGGGGGCAAGCUCAAAUUUAAAUCCGUUGGGUUUACCUUACCGAGUUGUAAUUUGAAGAGGCGUUUUCUGCGUUUUUGAUCAGUCCAAGUCCUUUGGGAUAAGGCAUCAUGGAGGGUGAGAAUCCCGUCCGGGUGAUUCGAUUCGCUUUACGAUACGUCAUCUAAGAGUCAAGUUGUUUGGGAUUGCAGCUUAAAAUGGGAGGUAAAUUUCUCCUAAGGCUAAAUAAUGGCGAGAGACCGAUAGCGAACAAGUACCGUGAGGGAAAGAUGAAAAGAACUUUGAAAAGAGAGUUAAACAGUACGUGAAAUUGUUGAAAGGGAAACGAUUGAAGCCCGUUGUACCGGCGGGUAAUCAGCCUUUUGGGUGGGAUUUUGUGGAGUGUGAGGAGGUAAACCCCUUCAUGCCUGCAUAUUUUUGCACUUUGGGUGUACUUGGCCGUGUGGUAAGUUAACCUCAAUUUUGGUCGUCAUAAAAUGGCUGGGGGAAAGUAGGUUUGGUUUUGUAAUGAAGUGUUAUUGGCUCCGGUAGAUGUGAUGAUCGGGAUUGAGGAUUGCAACGGAUACCCUUCGGGGCUACCCGCCUGAUCUCUGAAAGUUGCUCUGGUGCCGAAAGCGUGCUUACGGUCAUCAAAGUUGACGUC